rnacentral:misc_RNA from 1 species
UCCGGCUUAUCACCGGCAGUUUCUUUAGAGUGCUCAACUAAAUGGUAGCAACUAAAGACGAGGGUUGCGCUCGUUGCGGGACUUAACCCAACAUCUCGCGACACGAGCUGACGACAGCCAUGCAGCACCUGUGUUCCCGCCAGCCGAACUGAAGGAUGAGGUCUCCCCCACCCACACGGGACAUGUCAAAAGCUGGUAAGGUUCUUCGCGUUGCGUCGAAUUAAACCACAUGCUCCACCGCUUGUGCGGGCCCCCGUCAAUUCCUUUGAGUUUUAGCCUUGCGGCCGUACUCCCCAGGCGGUCAACUUCACGCGUUAGCUUCGUUACUGAGAAGAAACCCUCCCAACAACCAGUUGACAUCGUUUAGGGCGUGGACUAC